rnacentral:rRNA from 1 species
AACGCGAAGAACCUUACCUACCCUUGACAUGGAAGGAAUCCCUGAGAGAUUGGGGAGUGCUCGAAAGAGAACCUUUACACAGGUGCUGCAUGGCUGUCGUCAGCUCGUGUCGUGAGAUGUUGGGUUAAGUCCCGCAACGAGCGCAACCCUUGUCAUUAGUUGCUACGAAAGGGCACUCUAAUGAGACUGCCGGUGACAAACCGGAGGAAGGUGGGGAUGACGUCAAGUCCUCAUGGCCCUUAUGGGUAGGGCUUCACACGUCAUACAAUGGUACAUACAGAGGGCCGCCAACCCGCGAGGGGGAGCCAAUCCCAGAAAGUGUAUCGUAGUCCGGAUUGCAGUCUGCAACUCGACUGCAUGAAGUUGGAAUCGCUAGUAAUCGCGGAUCAGCAUGUCGCGGUGAAUACGUUCCCGGGCCUUGUACACACCGCGAGC